UACGGAGGGGGCUAGCGUUGUUCGGAAUUACUGGGCGUAAAGCGCACGUAGGCGGACCAGUUAGUUGGGGGUGAAAUCCCGGGGCUCAACCCCGGAACUGCCUCCAAAACUGCUGGUCUGGAGGUCGAGAGAGGUGAGUGGAAUUCCGAGUGUAGAGGUGAAAUUCGUAGAUAUCGGGAGGAACACCAGUGGCGAAGGCGGCGAUCUGGGAAGAUACUGACGCUGAGGUGCGAAAGCGUGGGGAGCAAACAGG
rnacentral:rRNA from 1 species